rnacentral:lncRNA from 1 species
AGGUGAUGACUGCAGCGGCGCCUGCCCCCGCAUGGCACCAUGCGCCGUCGCAAUGGAUCGUCCAAACCUUCUCUGCGGACGGGUCUGGUUGUGUUAUUGGCCCAGUCCAGUCGACGACGAAGUCUGCCAAGACUUGUGACUUGAUGGCUGUAACACCCCACUGGUCGCACAAAAUGGAUAAUACCAUAAACCUCAUCUACCAAACUUACUCAACACAGGAGAUGUAAUAAAGAAAGAAUAUAAAGCAAGAAAAAAUCCGGCAGCACCUCCUUUGAAAACUAGCAUAACAAGGAGGGGAAAACAUGACGCACAUACAAGAUAUAAAGACAUAUAAUUCACAUAGUAGAAACUGAAAUGCAAGAGUGGUAAAACUUAAUUACGACCCAACUGAAGUAAAACAAAUGGGAUAAGAACUCAGUCCACCCCAAAAUAACCGCUCAACCAAGAAUAAAGCAAUUCACUAGACUUGUCCGACUCUGAUUAACAACAUUAAUGAAUGGUGGUUCCUUUAUUAAAGGUGUAGUGGCCGUGCUGCUACAUCCCUCUAUUCCCCAAAGCAGAAAUUAGGUGCCUGCAUCAAACAAUGCAAGAUGUGAGAUAACACAUCUCAGCAAGUAAACAUAAUAACAGCAAAUAGGACAUGGUAAAUCAACUGUGCUUACACAACCACGUGUUCAGAACUUCUUUCUUUUCUUUUGAACAGUAAAUUGUAGCAAGUAUACGAGUAACUAAAAAAAACUCAACACCAAGUAGAAUCACCAUGCACAAGUCCAAAUUAUCCACAUCCACAUAAUAGAUUCAGCACCUCUCCCAUGAAUGCACAUGGCUACAAAUGCAAUAAUGACUUCUGCCUCCAUAUCUCUAAGGAUAUGAAGCUGCACCAUACCCCUUCUCGGGCAACAUAUGAUGCUCAAUGUACCGGUACGGUCGGACCAUAAGAUCACGACGAAACUUCAAUGCAAUGGGUGAUGAGUGCAUUAUGCAUGACAACAUCAUAAGUUCUCCCCAAAUAAAAAAGGUGCUAGGCAUUUACUUCCACCCAUUCCACAUAAUUACCACUUGAGUAACAUAAUCAAACCUCAAACUCAACUUAUGAAAUCCAUGAAACAUGAACAUGUUCAAAUGAUGGUACUCGAAAGAAAAUAUGAAUUGGAACAUGAUAGCACAACAUAAACAAGUAUAAGACUCCUCAUCUCACAGACGGAAUAACCAUCACAGUUUUACUUGCCUUUACCGAAGUUCGGGCAAAAUCCCUAAGAACGAUCCGGAAGUCCACCACCUGUUUUUGACACCCAACUUAGUGCACCAAAUUCACAUAAAAAAAACUCAAAGACAACACCGCACCUACGCGCAAUCUCAAACCCCGACGCGGUAACAAUUCUCCCCUCACUAACCAAACUGCAGCGGCGCUGCUUAACAAUUCCAUAACUUAAAAAUUAGGACAGCAGUGAUGAUAAACAAAAACUUCAGAGACAACUACAUAAAAUUCCCCACAAGUUUUGUAUACAACUCAUGAUUGAAUUCUAACAUCUACUUACCUCUAAACGGUCCACAAAAUAAACCCUGCAAUCUGUUUUUUCUGUUUUGGGCAGCGACAUACGCUGAUUCAAACAGCGAUAACUUUUAAAAUAUAAUUCCGAUUUGAGCGCAUAAGUACUUGUUGGAAAGAUAAGAAAAAGACCUACAUGAUUCUCAUACUGAUUAACACUAAUUACUCCCGAAAAAUCCCCAGAAACUGCUAACACUGCUGCUGUUCAUCACUCUGAAAAAUCUGUUUUUUGGACAGCCACAUACCCGGAUUCAAACGAUGAUAACUUUUAAUUUAUAACUCCAAAUUGAGCGCAUAAAUACUCGUUGGAAAGAUAAAACAAAGUUCUACAAGAUUCUCAUACUGAUUAACACUAAUUGCUCCCGAAAAUCCCCAGAAACUGCUAAUACUGCUGCUGUUCAUCACUCUGAAAAAUCUGUUUUUUGGACAGCCACAUACCCGGAUUCAAACGAUGAUAACUUUUAAUUUAUAACUCUAAAUUGAGCGCAUAAAUACUCGUUGGAAAGAUAAAACAAAGUUCUACAAGAUCCCCAAAUUGAUCCCCAUUAAAUCUUCACGAAAAAAACCUAAAAACUGCUGGAACUACCGCUGUUCAUCCACCACGCAAAAUUCUGGACAGCCCCCCUCUAUCUAAUCGCAAACGCAACAUCUAAUCAAUUGAAUCGCAGCGCAAAUGAACAAGGGAUGAACACAAAAGAAAAAUCACCUUGGGUUCUCCCCCUUUCCUUCCUCCCUUCUUCCCUCCACCAAAACGAUUGGAGAUUCGCACCAAGAGACGAUGAUCCGAGCGGCACGGAGUAGCACCUAGGGAGGAGGGGAUUGGGGGGGGGGCGGCUAGGGUUUUGGUGGCUGCAACAAUGGAGAGAGGAGGAGAUGGGCAGGGGGGCGGCGGCCAAGG